AAGUCCAGCGCAUCCUUCGGGGAGAGCGGCGGACGGGUGAGUAUCGCGUGAGAAUGUGCCCUUCUCUACGGAAUAGUCUCGGGAAACUGGGGGUAAUACCGUAUACGCCCUUCGGGGGAAAGAUUUAUCGGAGAAGGAUCACCCCGCGUUGGAUUACGUAGUUGGUGGGGUAAUGGCCUACCAAGCCGACUAUCCAUAGCUGGUUUGAGAGGAUGAUCAGCCACACUGGGACUGAGACACGGCCCAGACUCCUACGGGAGGCACCGAUGGGGAAUCUUAAACAAUGGGGGCAACCCUGAUCUAGCCAUGCCGCGUGAGUGAUGAAGGCCUUACGGUUGUAAAGCUCUUUCAGCUGGGAAGAUAAUGACUGUACCAGCAUAAUAAGCCCCGGCUAACUCCGUGCCAGCAGCCGCGGUAAUACGGAGGGGGCUAGCGUUGUUCGGAAUUACUGGGCGUAAAGCGCACGUAGGCGGACCAGAAAGUUGGGGGUGAAAUCCCGGGGCUCAACCUCGGAACUGCCUUCAAAACUAUUGGUCUGGAGUUCGAGAGAGGUGAGUGGAAUUCCGAGUGUAGAGGUGAAAUUCGUAGAUAUUCGGAGGAACACCAAUGGCGAAGGCGGCUCACUGGCUCGAUACUGACGCUGAGGUGCGAAAGCGUGGGGAGCAAACAGGAUUAAAUACCCUGGUAGUCCACGCCGUAGACGAUGAAUGCCAGUCGUCGGGCAGCAUGCUGUUCGGUGACACACCUAACGGAUUAAGCAUUCCGCCUGGGGAGUACGGUCGCAAGAUUAAAACUCAAACGAAUUGACCGCGGCCCGCACAACCGCUGGAGCAUGUGGUUUAAUUCGAAACACCCGCAGAAUCUUACCAACCCUUGACAUCCCCGGACCGCUGGAGAGAUUCUGCUUUCUCGUAAGAGACCGUUUGACAGGCGCUGCAUGGCCUGUCGUCAGCUCGAGACGUGAUGAUGUUCUGCUAAAUCCGGCAACGAGCGCAUGCCAUCGUCCCUAGCUGCCAGCAGUCAGUGAGCACGUCUAUAGGAAACCUGCACAUGAUUCAGUCGGUAGUACGUAGUGGACUGACGUCAGUCUCAUGACCUAACCGGAAUCGGCUACGACAUGCUGACAAUGAUGGGACAGUGGGUUAGUCCCCCAAUGAGUCAU
rnacentral:rRNA from 1 species